UCUGCCCUCUGGGAUUGUCCCAUGAGCACAUAUCAUGUGGUUACGUACAUUCAGAUAUUUGUUAUUUCUCCAACUCUUCUCGUUUUUCACUACUAAAGCUUUGGUGUAUGUGGUUAUGGUAUUCUUAUGGUAUUCAUUAUGCAUGUAUUAUUGCAUUUUGUUCCUGUUAUUAAUGUCAUUGUUGGAUAGAUUUCUGGUGAUGCUUUUAUUUAAGUGACUACGUGAUGAUAGGAAAUAAAUCAUAUUAAGGACAUGUGGCUUGCAAAUUUAUGAGUUCUUCCAACUUUCUUUUUUUUAAAAUAGACUUUGUGCUAUCUGUCUUUCUGAGUCUAUCUACAUCAGAAUUCGUUUUCAUAUAAGUUGCUAAUUAUAUAUUACCUCUAAUUAUAUAUCACCUCUAAUUAUAUAUUACCAUAACCCAAACAUUAGAGUCUUAUUAGGUCCCUUCCUAUUUAUUACCAAUAGACUCCAGAAACCUAUCAAUACCACCUGCCUGAAAUGUAUCUCAAAAUGCAUGCUGCAAGGGACUAGGCAAUGUCACCUUCAUUGAUUAUCAGGUAGCUCAAUUUUGCCGAAUGAUUUUUUCAGUAGAGCAUGUUGUCCUUCAGCGUCAACCCUUGAUUCUGCAGCUGCAACACGCCAACACCUACUUUUUUAGAUUGAAAUCAAUAACAAGCAGCUGACCACACAAGUGCCUAGCGCACACAUUCUUAAUAUCGUUGAAAUUCUUUAGGUUCUUUAUCUGGUCCUUGUUUUUGGCUAGAUUAUAAGAUUGUCUAUCAUUAUUUAUGCGUCUAAUGAUUUCAAACUUCUCUUUUUCAAUAUUUAUUUUGGUUGCUAAAUCGUUAAUGAUUCUAUUUAUUAUUUUAUAGAGAAAUAUGAUUUAUUUUGAAUACCAGUGGGUUGCAUCUCAUGAAGAGAAAUUCUCAGUUUACUAAUAUUAAUUGAAAUUUGUUUCCCAC
rnacentral:lncRNA from 1 species